AUUGAACGCUGGCGGCAGGCCUAACACAUGCAAGUCGAACGAGUGGCGGACGGGUGAGUAAUGUCUGGGAAACUGCCCGCUGGAGGGGGAUAACUACUGGCAACGGUCUCUAAUACCGCAUACCAUCGGAUGUGCCCCGAUGGGAUUAGAUAGUAGGUGGGGUAAUGGCUCACCUAGGCGACGAUCCCUAGCUGGUCUGUGAGGAUGACCAGCCACACUGGAACUGAGACACGGUCCAGAUUCCGACGGGAGGCAGCAGUGGGGAAUAUUGCAAAAUGGGCGCAAGCCUGAUGCAGACAUGCCGCGUGUAUGAAGAAGGCCUUCGGGUUGUAAAGUACUUUCAGCGAGGAGGCGUUACUCGCAGAAGAAGCACCGGCUAACUCCGUGCCAGCAGCCGCGGUAAUAC
rnacentral:rRNA from 1 species